CCUGGAGAAGCAACCUCCAGGAAAUAAUGGAAAAAGAAAGAUGUUGACCCCUAUUUUUCUCCUUCCAUGUUCUCAGACUCUUCCCAACCCCCUUCUCUUCUUACUCAUAUUUUCCCUCCUCUUUUCUUUUAAACCAUCCAUCCCCUGCAGUCCCCCUACUAUCCCAUUAUUCGUUUUUUCUUACUGCUCUGCGGCAGUCAACUUCUUCCAUUUCCCUUCUUCAAUACUAUACUACAAGCAUGUUGCCUUACUCCUCUGUCCCCUCAACACACAUUAUGUGACUGGUUUGCACAAAGGAGAACGAAACUGCCUUUCACUAGUAACUAGCUAAUACAUGGAAACAUGAGUGAUCAACAGUUCUCAGAAAGGGCAGAAGAGAUACCACAUGCCAGGUCAAGGAGAGGGUAAGGAAUUGCCAUUAGGGAGCUAACAGCUCUGCACUGGACAGAAAAGGAGGCUGUGGCAACAUCAUCCCUCCGGUGUCCCUCAUCAUAGACCUGGAUUACCUUACUGAAUACAUCCGUGCUCUUGCCAUAGUUACGUGCUUCAGGUCUCAUGCUAGUUGAACAAAA